GAAGAGAGAGAGAAUCCUAAGCAGGAUCUCCACCGGUAUAGCAUGGAGCCCAGUGCGGGGCUCGAACUCUCAAACUGUGAGAUCAUGACCUGAGCCGAAAUCAGGAUUCGGAUGCUUUACCAACUGAGCCACCCAGGUGCCCCUGAAUUCCUUCUUGUUUCACAAUCACUGGCUUAUAGGAUGUUCCUUCUCAUUUCUUUCUUUUUUUUUUUUUUUUUUUUUUUUUUGGCUAUAUGGGAAACUUGAUUGAUUAAUCAUGCUCAACAGUUGCAGUGUAAAAGUGUUAAUUAGUGAUUCAUUAUUGGGGUUAUUAUACAGGAUAGUUAAAAUGCUACUUUUAAGAAACAUAUUUCUUACAUUGUGUGUGUCUGUGAGUCUGCUGAAGAUCACUUUUAUUCAGUGCUUUACAGCGAUUACUGUGCUCAAAAUUCUUCUGAUCUUUUGCAGCCAACUCAAUGGGUGUGAACAUAGAUUACAGGUCUUCCAACCUUAAUUUGUGCAUUAAAUUUUAUGUACUGCUAUAUCUCUCAAAGCUGGAAAGGAAGGAAGGAAGAAGAUAGGUACUGGAAAUAUUCAUUUUUUCCUUCACUAACCUAAAUUUUGCUUAUGAAAGCUCAUCUUGUGGUUGUGAAUAUAUGGAGAUGGGUGGGUAGGUGGAAAUGUGCCUUUUUGAAACUGUAAGAUUUCAUCAUUGUAUCAUUCAUAUUGUAUACAUAUUGUGUAUACAAAUGUAGCAUUGUAAAUGUAGCAGAGCUUCAGUAGCAUUUUUUUAGGAAUCUGUAUAAAUCACUGUCACAGUUGGUGUGAGCAUUGUAUUUUACUAUAAAACUAUAGCGCAGUUCUAUAGUAAAAUCCAAGUGAACAUUUUAAAUUUGUUUUUUAUGAAAGAAGAAAACAUAAUUGCUCUUACUCCCAGGCUUCAUGCUUUUAUGGUUUAAUUCUAUGCAUUUCUAGAUCUGGCAAAUAUGUCUGAAGUUAAGCUGAGUUGGUCUCAGGACAAUAAGAAAAAAACAUUUCCUUACAUCUCAUCUCACUGUUGGUCAUACACACACAACAUGUAAAAAGGAACAUCAUUAAAAACAAAAGAAAUCUGAUUUAUAGUAGCAUCUCUGAGCAAAAAUAUCCUGAAGUUCGCUUAUAAUAUAAGCAUGAUAAAAGUUACAGCUAAUGUUUUAGGUAUUCCUUUUCUCAAAAGCAGUGUUUUAUCAUCUUGGUGUUGCCCCAAUCUUGUGAGGUCUCCAAGAAUCAAAAACCAUCAUCAUCAUCAUCAUCAUCAUCAUCAUCAUCAUCAUCAAGUGUCCAACAAGUGGAUGUGGAGAUGAUGCAUUCAUAUAACUUUGAUUUCUCAGAAUCAGCUAAGGCAUGAGUUCUUUGGAGCUGACUCUCAUACCUUUGACUACCUUGGGCUCAAAACUGUGUUAUCUCCCCAGGUUGUUAAUUUGUUGUGUGACAAAAUAGAAAACUAACUCAGGAGUCCUCAGUGUGGGCCAUGUCAGAAUAUUCUAAGUUUCCUAGGCUCAUGAAAUAGUACAAAGUGCAAAAACUAUCUUAAACUAAAAUAGUGCCACUGAUCCAAUGUCCAAGUUUAUUUUCUUCCUCUUAAAAAAAUGCUUAGCACAGUACUGUAAAACAAAUGAUUAUAUUUGUUUUUUUUAAUAUGAAAUUUAUUGUCAAAUUGGUUUCCAUACAACACCCAGUGCUCAUCCCAACAAGUGCCCUCCUCAAUACCCAUCACCUACCCUCUCCUCCCUCCCACACCCCAUCAACCCUCAGUUUGUUCUCAGUUUUUAAGAGUCUGUUAUGUUUUGGCUCCCUCCCUCUCUAACCAUUUUUUUUCCUUCCCCUCCCCCAUGCAAAUGUGUAUAUUUGUUACAAAACAGUCUAUCUAAAUAUUUGAUGGUGUAUUUAACUUCCAAUCCUGCAAAACUUUAGGCAGUGAGAAUAAGAUUUUAUUCCUUGGGCUCAUGCCAGUGUGGCAUAUUACAUGGCAGGAGGAAACUAAGACUUUAAAUAAUGUUGAUAGUUUAUAUGCUGAGAAUUGAGAAAGGACGUGGGACCACUGGAACUUGAUUAAAUUAAUGUAAAGGAGUUCAUCUGAAAUAUCACUGUUUCUAACAAGAAAGACUAUAAACUUAUUAGGAAUUAAUUCCAUGUGGAAAGCACACAAACACACAAAUCCAUUUGCCUGUACAAAAUAGUAUAAAAAUGAAAAGAAUCCUAGCUCACAGGAGACACUUGAAACAUUCCAUUACUUCAUUUUUAAGUUUUGCCUUCUUGGAGAAUAUCAAAUAAUGCCCUUUUCUUCAAAGUUAAUUUUGUCUGACAUAUUUUGCAUAGUAUUUGACUGGUAUACUCUGCCUCCCCAUUCUUCUGUUGAAAACCGUUCUGUGAGUAUAUGUAAAUUUUAGAUGUGUUUCUAAUAAACAACCUGUGGUAAGAUUUCACAUUUUUAUCCUGUGCGACGAAGCUGUGUGCUUUUCAAUCUGUGGUGAUGAAUCUGCCCUCCCUUACCCAGAGUCUCAUGUAGCCUCCAUCUGGAUGACUGACUGGCCUGAUAUUGGAAUCUGUAUUCAGGGAGGAAUAGGCUCUUUACACCAACAUGUGAAAUUCAUCAUCGCCAACGUGUAAAUCUGAUAAAAGCCUGACAUUGUAGACAUAAUCCAAGGCCCUCCUUUGUAUGGAUCUCGCUGACCCAAGGAAGCUACUGAUGCACAGCUUUAGGCAAAAGGUAUUCUUUAAAAAAUAUUCCAGGGCCUUUGAUAGCACAGAUGCAAGUAUAACUGUUGAAAUCUGAACAAAUACACCACCAUUAUCAGGGUUUAGUUGUUGAAACGGUAUAUCCUCUGUUUGUCCUUUAAUAUUUAUUUGACAACGCAACCCGUAAAAAAAUGGAAGUGCAUUGGCUUCCAAGUCUUGCAAGUUCUUUUUCUUUCUAAAGUAUUAGCCAGCAUCUGGAAAGCUGAAAUUGCCUUUAAUGAAAAAGGGGUCUGAAAUUAACAUCUAUGAAAUCGAAGCAAAAUAUGUAGUUCCUAUGCUACGUAGUAACAUAAAAGUAUGGAGAUAGGGAGUGAUACCACAUUUGGUUGAUUCUAAGACUUAUUUUUAAGUUGGCAAACUGAUGAAUCCUGUAUGGAAUACUACAUAUAGUAAAGAGGACUUGUGAAAAAUUAAAUUUUGUGGAAAAUAAGCAGUCACUACUUUUGACUGCCUGAAGUCUAGUUUUAUUGUUGAAAUGUAAGAAAUCCUCUCCUGACCUCACAUUUUGGAUAAUCAGAUUUGCCACACUAGUGAAAUCACCAUUUGCAGUUCAAAUUCUGCCUGGCGUAUUACAGCACACAGCAUCCUUCAGAACAUGAAGUAAAGUAAAGCCGUGUCAAGUGCAACACACUGAGUGUCACCUUGAGCCUUUCUUGCUCUUGCCACGUGGGAUUCAUUUCCUAUGCUGUUCGGCUGCUGCAUUACUUCAGUGUAGUUUCCAGUUUUACCUUCAGCUGAGCUUGGAGAAUUGAGAGUGACAAGUUGGUAUUGUUCCCGGACUCAAAUUACGAUAUUUAGGAUAUUAAGUUGUAUCCUUUCUGCUCUGACUAUAAAAUAUGAAAUUGGGACAGGUGAAUUUACUUGAUUAGAGUAUUAUUAGACUAAUUUGUGAGUUGAGCCAAUUGGCUUUAUACCGGUAAAAACUAUUUCAUACCCCUAAUCAUGCCAAUUCAGUAAAGGGCAUGGAGCUUAUGGCUUAAUACAGAUCCUGAGAGGGUGGUACAAAGUCAUGGGGAUUUAAAGAGGAAUUCAAAAUGUAUGUACUAUAGACAGGAAUAUAAUACUCUUCUAAAACCGGAUACAUUGGAAUUAAAAGUUCAGGUAAGGGUAUUGCAGUUUAAGAAUUCAUAUGUCUUUCUUAAGACUUUUAUGUUAUAUAGCAUUGAGAUUAAACCCUCAUUUCCUGACUUCUCUUUCUCUCUUCUCUUACUGAAGAUCAGUCACAUCACACUUACACAAUACCAAUUCUGAGUCUGAAUUUGAUAUAUGUUAAUUUCCUUAACAGUGAAAUGGAUUUAAUAGCAUCUACUUGUUGGCUUUGUUGUGAGAAAUAAAUCAGAAAAUGCAUAUAAUUCUGCAAAGGAUGCUUUGCACAUAACUAGGGUUCAAGAAAUAAUAUUGCCCUAGUGUUCCUCCAGAGAGACAGCGUGAUCAGGGGAGGGGCAGAGAGAUGGGGGAAGGACAGAGGAUCCAAAGCAGGCUUCACAUUGACAUCAGCGAGCCUGAUGCAGGACUCAAACUCACCAACCACAAGAUCGUGACCCAAGCUGAAGUCAGAUGCUCAACCAACUGAGCCACCCAGUGUUUCUUUCCAACCUAGAGUGAGACAUUUACUCUAGCUUUGAUGAAAUACAAGAAGUGGAACUUGUUGGUCAAAACGUUGGACAAAACAGAUGGAGAAGCAAAGAAGUAUGUGACAUAAGACAUGCAGAAAUUUGGAUCUCUCCAAUUAAUCAUGGUUCACAGCUGACAAAAAAGGUGACAAUAAUUGAUGUAACCCUUUGAGAAACAAUCUGGAACUUCAGCACCAUGGGAAAUCUUGUUCAGCUUUGCUCAGCUACUACUGAAUUAAUGUGUGUUACAAAUUGCUACUCAGAGGGGCACUUCAUAAAGUCAGAGUUUCUGGAACAAAUUCCACACCAUGAGGCAUCCCAGAAAUCAUUCAUUUUUCUUCUCGCUUCUCACCACUCAGUGUUGUGUCACCUACUGUAACAAGCACAGUCCACAGAUAAAAGAUGAGAGUACCAAUUUAUCUGCAGUGCGUUUUGCCAAUGUAGGUAGUCUCCAUAACUCACUUCGAUUCCUAGGAGGGUUAUAUGUUGUUAGCUUGAAAUGUCUAAACUAGUUUUCUGUUUGGUAAAAUGCAAUGCUAUACGCAUGCCCUUUACUGGCUCUGCAGCUAUAGGAUGUGUACCGCCCAAUCUUUUACAUGUAGCUUCAGUGUAAGUGACUUCCCCUCAAAAGAUGAUGUAACUAUUUGACCAGGCAUUUUUCUCCUCAUAAAAGAUGGGAGCUUACACAAUGGCAAUACCUCCAAGUUCCACGCCUGAAUAAGACAGUGUGAUACAGAUCUCAAGAGCAAGCACAAAUGUAAAAAACUGGAACCACUGGAGUUUGUAAGAAUAUAUUAUGAUUUUUAUUCAUAGUUGAUUCUUAACUAGAAAAAAGAAAAAGCCUCAUCAUUUUGCAAUAUAAACAUAGACACUCGUCUCCUUACUGAGUCCAUAUACUAGAAGGUCACAUGUCACACAAAGCAAAUGAGGUGAGAGUUCCACAAUGUGGAAAGAUUGAUUGUGAUAUUCUCAUUCACUCAGUGCAUUCAGCAGCUCACCAGGCAUUGCAGUUAAACAGACUGAUGGAUUGUCAUCUUGUUAUGAUCACUGUACUUCACAAAAUAAACAGAGGCUUUAAAAAAAAAACUCUUUAAGUAAAUCAUGGAUUACCAAUAAUACCAAUAAUGCAAGUAGAAACAGCCAAGAAGGAGCUAGUAAUACUGAUAACUGUGCCUACUAUCAUCUCUUUGCAGACCACAUUACAAGAUAAGAACAAUGAUUAUCUAAUUAGAUCUUCUGAGAUAAUAGUCAAAGUAAUUUGAAAUUGUCAAGGAGACUACUUGAAAUCAGAAUUUUUUCAUCUCUUAUCAUUAAUUAUAGUAAUAGAUUAAAGCUCAGAUACUGCAUUUCAAAUUUAACUCUUUAAGAUUCAUAGUUGUAUAUAUUUUAUAAGGUAUUUAAUAGUA